GGGCACACCUGACGCUGAGAGACGAAAGCUAGGGGAGCGAACAGGACCAGAGACCCUGGUAGUCCUAGCCCUAUACGAUGAAUGCUAGGUGUGGGAUCGAAUGGUUCCGUGCCGGAGCGAACGCGAUAAGCAUUCCGCCUGGGGAGUACGGCCGCAAGGUUACAACUCACACGAAUUGACGGGGCCCCGCACAAGCAGCGGAGCGUGUGGUUUAAUUCGAUGCUACACGAAGAACCUUACCUGGGUUUGACAUGUAGAUGGUAGUGAAUCGAAAGGUGAACGACCCUUCGGGGAGCCUACACAGGUGCUGCAUGGCUGUCGUCAGCUCGUGCCGUGAGGUGUCGGGUUAAGUCCCGUAACGAGCGCAACCCUUGCUCCUAGUUACAAGUGUCUAGGGGGACUGCCGGCGGAAAGCCGGAGGAAGCUGGGGAUGACGUCAAGUCAGCAUGGCCCUUAUAUCCAGGGCUACACACACGCUACAAUGGUCGGUACAAAGGGCAGCGAAACCGCGAGGCGGAGCGAAUCCGAGAAAAGCCGAUCGUAGUUCGGAUAGCAGGCUGCAACCCGCCUGCUUGAAGCUGGAGUUGCUAGUAACCGCGCGUCAGCCAUAGCGCGGUGAAUACGUUCCCGGGGCUUGUACACACCGCCCGUCACGUCAUGGGAGUCGGUAACGCCUGAAGCCGGUAGUCUAACUGGA
rnacentral:rRNA from 1 species